UGCAAUAAGAAAGGAUUGUAAAAAGCUUACAAACGAUUAAGCAAACUGAAAGGCGCUAUGUGUAGGUGUAUUGAGAUAAUGCGUUUGUCUCCAUACUAAUUCUUUUGACAUUUUGACAUCUCAUCAAAUCUAACGGUAUCAUGUUAAUCGUGGUGAAGCGUUAACACGAUUUGUUUCGUUUUGCGUACAUUUUGACGUUGUUACUCCGACGUUAAAGUCAUAAUUUUGUAUUAGAGUAAAGUCAUUAACAAUCAGUGCGUGUACUAAGCUUGCAAAUUAUUUGCAUUUGUGUUGUGAAAUGUAUUUUGCCAGCGAGUUAUUAUAAAACCAUGGCAUAAACUUGUGAUGUUUGUUUUAAUCAUAACCUCCGUGUUAGCUUCGGCUACUUAUUAAAAUUUGGAUGUACAUGUUGGUGCGGUGCAACAGUACAUUUUGUGGAAAGUGGCUCCCUUCCUUUGUGAAUAGAAAAAAAAUGUUGUGAAAAAGUGUUAGAAGGUUAUGUAUCAAUACGGCCAGGCCGUUCUAUUUGUGUAGAAAGUUGUUUUUUGAUGAAAAAAAAGUUUUAUCUAUUUAUUAAUCGGUCAAUGAUGAAUCGCAAUAUUUGCUUUUUGUGUUAAUUAGUGUAUUGCAAAAUGUUGCCAUUUUAGGCAAUUGUGGUGAUGUAAAUGUGCAAAAGUGCGUUGAAGUGUGCGUGUGCCUUUGGGCACUAAAAAAUGCAAGUUUUAUUUUUUUUUAUGAAAAAAGUGUUGUCCAUUUAUCAAUGAGCAUAAGGUUUAUUGUGUUAAUUAGUUUAUUGAAAAAAUAUGGCCAUUUUAUGCGAGUGUGGUAUUUUGAAUGUGUCAAAGCGCUUUGAAGUGUUAUGUGCCUUAGUGCACAAGAAAAAAGGCAAGUUUGGUUUGUUUUUUGGCGAAAAAAAAGUUCAUAAUUGAGCUUAAGGUUUAUUGUGUUAAUUAGUGUAUCGCAAAAUGUGGCCAUUUUAGGCGGUUUUGGUGAUUUAAAUGUGCAAAAGUGCAUUGAAGUGUGCCACGUGCCUUUGGGCACUGAAAAGAAAAGCAAGUUUGGGUUAUUUUUCAGUGAAAAAAAGUUUUUUCUAUUUAUCAGUGAGCUUAAGGCUCAUUACGUGAAUUAGUGUAUUAAAAAAUAUGGCCGUUUUAUGCGAGUGUGGUGUUGUAAAUGUGCCAAAGUGUGUAUGUGCCUUAGUGCACUGAAAAGAAAAGCAAGUUUUGCUUGUUAUUUUGGGGAAAAAAGUUCAUAAAUGAGCUUAAGGCUUAUUGCGUUAAUUAGUGUAUUAAAAAAUAUGGCCGCUUUUGGCGAGUGUAAAUGUGUCAAAGCGCAUUGAAGUGUGUAUGUGUUAAAAAAUGAAAAUGGCAGUGUGUAAAAGCAAGUUUUAUCUUCCGAAAUAAAUGCUUGGCUGUGGGUUAUGAAAGUGUCCUACAUAUAAACUACCGUAUAGCCGGGUCGUUAUCAACAUUAAUGCCCGGACGGAAUAAUCAUCAUCAAGACAAGGAGCUUGCUGAUAAGACAAAAUACACGUGUGGUCCCGGGCACGUACACGAGCCGACAGAAGGAAGUCUUCCACACCGUCGUAAGUGAAUUCCUUGUACGGUCAAUGGCGGUCACGUGACGGUAUGUAUCCCAGAAGAACGAUGGUUUUUGGGGUGGGUUUUCUUGAUAGGAAGAGCAAACUCUGGUGCUGCUUUGCGGAGAAAGUUGUGAACUUUAGUUAUUAAGCAAAGAAACUGGGAUCGGUACUGUGGCUAAUUAGUGUAUCCUUACGCUCGGUUUGUCCUUUCUAUCGGCAGCCCAGCAACACAUGGGCACAUGGCUUUGAAGUAGAAGCUGCAAGACUCUCUGGUAACUGAUUUUAUCAUAUCCCGAGUGUACAUCUUUAACUCUUCCUAACUACGUUCGUUGCAAAUCAAUUGUUCGACCACAUCGGACGGACUUCUACUUGUAUUCCUUGGAACGGUGAAUGGGAUGGGCGUCGAGUUCAAGAAUAGACGAGAACGGACAUAAUCUCGAUAGCCAUUGACCGAAGUCUUACACAUGGAGACAUCGGAGAACCGACCGGACAUGGCAUCGAACGUACGAUGACGAAGAUGAAGGUACUGAUGUGCCACUUGGACUCUUAAGUCAUCGACUAAGAAGUGGCAUCGAGUGCAUCCUUCGAAAGUUAAACUGAUUAUUCUGGUCAGGCAAGCAGCGUGUCGCAAAUGCAAUGAUAGUUGUGUAAGUGUUGCCGUCUGGUAGAAAACGGAAUCGGGGGAAGAAGAAAAAAAAACAUUACCAACACCUAGCUUUUGUGGAAGGAGAAUUCUUCCUGGGAGAGUAUCCUCUUGUUGCAGGAUUUCACAAGCUUUAGCUUCUUGGAACGAUGACCGAGAAGUUGUGUAUCAUUGUACGAGCAGGUGAGUUUGGGUAUUCUUCAAUAUCCUGAUGAUUGUGUACACAGUAAGAUACAUUAAAGCUAAGCAUUUAUUGACAAAUGAAGGAAACUUUUGGGAUUGGAUCUUAAAGAUCCUUUUACCCUACAUCUAAUAAUGGAAUGACUAACUCUAUUGCUUAGAAAAAGAGUCUCAAAACCAGAAUUCGUUAACACUACAAAAUAUCCGCAUUGCGGUGCAGAUUCACGCCCCAAAAAUACUCGUUUACAUUCGCCUGUGAUAGAGAUUUUAUGUGUUCCGUGAGUUCCUUUCCCUUUCACUCUAUUCUGUUUUGCAAGCCCGCAAAGCGAGCUAGUCGAUCGAUCUAAUUAGGUUCCCUUUUAGAAGACGUUUAGCAUACAAAUGAAGUAUCCAUUCGCUUUCCAUAACGCUCGUAUAGAAUGAGCUGGAAUGCGUUGGUGUCCGUUCCAUGGACAUCUUGUACUGUUGAGACCCUUCAACAAAAUCGCUAAACAUCAAAGCAACACACCGGCGCGUAUCAGAUUCCAAAGCCGAUGGUUGUUGAAAGUUGUGAUUUGGAAAGUUUUC